CCUACGGGCCGCACCAGUGGGGAAUAUUGCACAAUGGGCGCAAGCCUGAUGCAGCCAUGCCGCGCGUAUGAAGAAGGCCUUCGGGUUGUAAAGUACUUUCAGCGAGGAGGAAGGCGUUAAGGUUAAUAACCUUAGCGAUUGACGUUACUCGCAGAAGAAGCACCGGCUAACUCCGAGCCAGCAGCCGCGGUAAUACGGAGGGUGCAAGCGUUAAUCGGAUUUACUGGGCGUAAAGCGCACGCAGGCGGUCUGUCAAGUCGGAUGUGGAAUCCCCGGGCUCAACCUGGGAACUGCAUUCGAAACUGGCAGGCUAGAGUCUUGUAGAGGGGGGUAGAAUUCCAGGUGUAGCGGUGAAAUGCGUAGAGAUCUGGAGGAAUACCGGUGGCGAAGGCGGCCCCCUGGACAAAGACUGACGCUCAGGUGCGAAAGCGUGGGGAGCAAACAGGAUUAGAUACCCCAGUAGUC
rnacentral:rRNA from 1 species